CCUACGGGUGGCAGCAGUGGGGAAUAUUGCACAAUGGGGGAAACCCUGAUGCAGCAACGCCGCGUGAGUGAAGAAGUAUUUCGGUAUGUAAAGCUCUAUCAGCAGGGAAGAGAAUGACGGUACCUGACUAAGAAGCCCCGGCUAACUACGUGCCAGCAGCCGCGGUAAUACGUAGGGGGCGAGCGUUAUCCGGAUUUACUGGGUGUAAAGGGAGCGCAGACGGCAGCGCAAGCCAGGAGUGAAAGCCCGGGGCCCAACCCCGGGACUGCUCUUGGAACUGCGCGGCUGGAGUGCAGGAGGGGCAGGCGGAAUUCCUGGUGUAGCGGUGAAAUGCGUAGAUAUCAGGAGGAACACCGGUGGCGAAGGCGGCCAACUGGGCUUUAACUGACGCUGAGGCUCGAAAGUGUGGGGAGCAAACAGGAUUAGAUACCCCGGUAGUC
rnacentral:rRNA from 1 species